ensembl:lncRNA
CAUGUGUAGAUUUUCCUUUCCUUGUCUUUCACAAGUAUCAUGUUUUUCUUCAAUCCUCUGUGUGUGGGGGGGGGGAUGACAGGAUCUUGCUAUGUUGUCCAGGCUAGAGUGCAGUGGCAUGACCAUGGCUCACUGCAGCCUUAACCUCCUGGGCUCAAAGGAUCCUCCCACCUCAGCCUCCCAAAGUGUUGGGAUUACAGGCAUGAGCCACAAUGCCCAGCCUUAAAUUCUUUUCAACUUUAAAAAAUUUUGGUCAUGUGUGAUGACCCAUGCCUGUAAUCUCAACACUUCAAGAGGUUGAGGCAGGAGGUUCGUUUGAACCCAGGAGUUGGGGACAAGCCUGGGUACACCAGGAGACCCCAUCUUAAUUUAAAAAAAAAUUACCCAGAGGUGGUGGCAUGGACUACCUGUGGUCCCAGCUACUUGGGACACUCAGGCAGGAGGAUCACCUGAGUCUGGGGGGAUUGAGGCUACAGUGAGCUAUGGCAAUGCCACUGUACUCCUGCCUGGGAAACAGAGUGAGACCCUGUUUCAAAAAAAUUGUUUUUGUCACUUAAAAAUUCUUUUAUUUUUUAAAAAGACAAAUCCUGCCCUCUGUGUACAUCGCUGUGUUUUCAGCAAUGUCUGUUUUCCUCUGUGUUGUUUGCACAUCAUGUUCACUUCUGCAAAUUUUAUUGUUCUUUUCACUUCUGUCUAGGCCCUGCUGUCUCAUGUUUUGUCAACAGGAAGAAAAACACAUCUUCAUGUUUUGUUUUGUUUUUGAGGUGGAGUCUUGCUCAGUCACCCAGGCUGGAGAGCAGUAGCACAAUCUCAGCUUACUGCAACCUUUGCCCCCCAAGUUCAAGUGAUUCUCCUGCCUCAGCCUCCCGAGUAGCUGGGUCUACAGGAACAAAAUUUCAGUCUAGACUGAAAUUCAUAGCUGGACACAUUCCUCACUUCAAAUGAGAACUCCUGUUUACCUGGCAGUGAAUGUAAGUUUUGAUUACAAGAAUCUGCCUCAUGGGAUUGGGUAGGAAUAGGCAGACUCUGCAGGUAACUUCUCUUCUUAGAAUGGUUUCCUGACCCUCCAGGGUAUUGUCCUUUUCUGCUGACCUUAGCUCACCCUGGAACAGUGGUAUGUUGGUAAAUGUUUGAUAACUAGCUGCUCUGGGUGUAGUCGGGGAAGUUCUGAUUUGCAGCAUUUCCUGAUUUCCAUGCAAUAUAAGAUCUCCCAUCCUAGCCAAUUUCAAGCUAGCAACAUAACAUCACUGAAUGGGGAGCUGAGAUGUGCAAACUAGAUUCCCAAGACUGAAUUCAUUUAGCACACCACUGUUCUGGGUCUGCUGUACUGUGUCAGAAAACUAUACCCACUACUCUCGUGUAAGCCCAAACAAUGGAGCCAGCUGCUCCAAAAGCAACUCCUGGAAUUCAUGGGGACUUAAGGAAGUUUGCCCUGCUAGAUUUUUCUAUCAAUCAAUAACCAUGUUUUUAUUUUUUUCAAAAAUUCCUUUCUAUGUUGUUUGCUGUAAGUACCUUUUCUGGUUUUCCUGUGCUGCUUUGAAUUAAUUUUUCUAUUUCUUUGAUUUCAGUGGAAUUUGGAGAAGGAAUAGCAAAGUGGAAGUCCUUCUCCUAUUUCAUGCCUUAACUUGUUUUUAUUGGAAGUUACUUCCUUUUUCGUCUCAGAGGCUGAUUCUCCUCCCAUAACCAGUGAUUUUCCUAUAAGCUCAUUAUCCUGGAUGAUGGUUUGACUAACCAAGGCUACUGGCUGCUGAGGGGUUUCUGAGGAAACUUGGGUAGCCUGAUAGAGGCCAUCUGCCUCUCCACGUGGGUUCUAGUUGUGGAGUACACUGCUAUGUUCAUGGAGGCCAUGCACAUUGGCCAGAGAAGAGCAGCCCCAUUGCAAAAGGAUCUAAAUGAGUAUUUUCCAUGCUCACGGGUCAAAUGAGAGGACGUCCCACAUUUAUUCAGAAGGUAGUUGAAAGUGGUCAGCCCCAGAUCUCCUCCAUAUGACUCUUUGGUUGAUGCUACUUGUACCUCAAUACUUGGAAGGCCCAUUCUGGCCAGGAACAACUUUCACUUUACUCUGAAAACAUGGGCAGGUGGGCACAGAAUAGAGCGACUCUAUCCCUGGGACAGAAACUCCUUCAGGCUUUGUGGCAGACACUGUUAUAUGAGUCUUUAGGUGAGUUAACUCAUUUACUCUUUGGAACAAUCCUCUGAAGUAGGUUUUGUUAUUAUCCUCAGUUUACAGACACAGAAACUGAGACACAGAAAGACCAUUCACAGUAAGUGGUUGAGGCAGGACUGAAACUCAAGAAGCCUUGUGACGGUUGUGAUGAGUUAGUAGUGAUGGUGGCUACGAGGUAGGUGUGUGAAUAGAUGUGUAGUGGCUUCUCCUCCAAUGGAAAACUCCCAAAGCAUUAUGAAACAGCCUGGUAGCUGCAGUUGCCCAGGUGUGCAGGAGCAUCGGUGAGCUCAGCAGACUCUGUUCCAAGUCACAUUAAAGAGGCUGAUUUAUCGCAAACCUAUCUCCUAGAGACAGAAUAUAGUUUCCAAAAAUGGACAAAACAUGACCUCCCAACCCACAUGCUGUUCUUACGAUGUAACUUUGAUAUUAUAUUC